rnacentral:rRNA from 1 species
GAAUUGUAUUUUCAAAAUGCAUUGCUAACACAACUGCACAUGUUUGUUUAUUGGAAAGAACAUCACAAAGGGUGACAAUCCCAUGUGUCAUGUGUAUGUUUUGUGUACAGCGUGCAUUAUAUGAAUCACAUUCAUUGACAAUUGAAUGCAAAUAGAAUGGUAAAUUUCAUUUAAUCAUAAAUAUGUUGUUGACAACUUAUAGCAAACAAAUACCAUGAGGGAAAUGUGAAAAGGAUUUUGAAAAGAAAAUUAAAAGAGCUUGCAAUUGCUGAACUGAUAAGCAAACAAAACAUACGUGUGUAUGCAAGAUUGUUGUAAUGCUUAGCAUCUUAUGCAAGGCUAUUGCAAUGAUUUUUUGUAUAGUGAUGCUACCUUUUUUUAGAAUUUGGAAUGUCUUUUUUUGAGUGUGAAUGGAAUUUUGUUUGGUACGAAAGGAAUGCCCUUUUAGAUUCAUUGUUUGAUUUG